rnacentral:lncRNA from 1 species
UUGCCGUCUUCUCGCGAGACGACGGCGGAGGCUUGUGCUCUGAGAACUUAAUCGCCGGGCGAGCCCCGUUGUACCGAGCGUUGCUAGCCGUCGACGAACUCCACCCGAUCCCAUGCGGCGCGCAGAAAAUCGGCCAUGGAGGCAACCAUGCCACAAUUUCUUCCCUCCUAGUUUGAUGGAGCGGCGUUGCAGGAGCAGAAGAGUGCGAUGGUGGCGGGGAAGGAACGGGAGCAGCGGAUGAUGAAUCUCUCUGUCGCCAUCUUGUCCAGGGCAGGAAUUCCAUGCCCCUGCUCUCUGGGCUGGCGCCGCCUCCCGGGGCCCCGGGCGCUCCAAGAUGUCGGCGCAUCCUCUCCGUGUGUUCAAUCGUG